UACGUAGGGGGCAAGCGUUGUCCGGAUUUAUUGGGCGUAAAGAGCUCGUAGGUGGCUCGCCAAGUCGGAUGUGAAAUCUCCAGGCUCAACCUGGAGCUGCCAUUCGAGACUGGCGUGGCUAGAGUCCGGUAGGGGACCACGGAAUUCCUGGUGUAGCGGUGAAAUGCGCAGAUAUCAGGAGGAACACCGAUGGCGAAGGCAGUGGUCUGGGCCGGCACUGACGCUGAGGAGCGAAAGCGUGGGUAGCAAACAGGAUUAGAAACCCCCGUAGUCC
rnacentral:rRNA from 1 species